UAGGGAAUCUUCCGCAAUGGACGAACGUCUGACGGAGCAACGCCGCGUGAGUGAUGAAGGUUUUCGGAUCGUAAAACUCUGUUGUUAGGGAAGAACAAGUUGGGUAGUAACUGACCCAACCUUGACGGUACCUAACCAGAAAGCCACGGCUAACUACGUGCCAGCAGCCGCGGUAAUACGUAGGUGGCAAGCGUUGUCCGGAAUUAUUGGGCGUAAAGCGCUCGCUGGCGGUCUUUUAAGUCUGAUGUGAAAGCCCACGGCUUAACCGGGGAGGGUCAUUGGAAACUGGAGGACUUGAGUACAGAAGAGGAGAGUGGAAUUCCACGUGUAGCGGUGAAAUGCGUAGAGAUGUGGAGGAACACCAGUGGCGAAGGCGACUCUCUGGUCUGUAACUGACGCUGAGGAGCGAAAGCGUGGGUAGCGAACAGG
rnacentral:rRNA from 1 species